rnacentral:rRNA from 1 species
CCUACGUGAGGCAGCAGUGAGGAAUAUUGGUCAAUGGGCGCGAGCCUGAACCAGCCAAGUAGCGUGAAGGAUGACUGCCCUACGGGUUGUAAACUUCUUUUAUAAAGGAAUAAAGUGAGGCACGUGUGCCUUUUUGUAUGUACUUUAUGAAUAAGGAUCGGCUAACUCCGUGCCAGCAGCCGCGGUAAUACGGAGGAUCCGAGCGUUAUCCGGAUUUAUUGGGUUUAAAGGGAGCGUAGAUGGGUUGUUAAGUCAGUUGUGAAAGUUUGCGGCUCAACCGUAAAAUUGCAAUUGAUACUGGCAGUCUUGAGUACAGUUGAGGUAGGCGGAAUUCGUGGUGUAGCGGUGAAAUGCUUAGAUAUCACGAAGAACUCCGAUUGCGAAGGCAGCUUACUAAACUGCAACUGACAUUGAUGCUCGAAAGUGUGGGUAUCAAACAGGAUUAUAUACCCCGGUAGUC